rnacentral:rRNA from 22 species
GAAUGCUGACAUAAGUAACGAUAAAGCGGGUGAAAAGCCCGCUCGCCGGAAGACCAAGGGUUCCUGUCCAACGUUAAUCGGGGCAGGGUGAGUCGACCCCUAAGGCGAGGCCGAAAGGCGUAGUCGAUGGGAAACGGGUUAAUAUUCCCGUACUUGGUGUUACUGCGAAGGGGGGACGGAGAAGGCUAUGUUGGCCGGGCGACGGUUGUCCCGGUUUAAGCGUGUAGGUGUGUGUUCCAGGUAAAUCCGGUUCACUUUAACACUGAGGCGUGACGACGAGGCACUACGGUGCUGAAGCAACAAAUGCCCUGCUUCCAGGAAAAGCCUCUAAGCAUCAGGUAACAUCAAAUCGUACCCCAAACCGACACAGGUGGUCAGGUAGAGAAUACCAAGGCGCUUGAGAGAACUCGGGUGAAGGAACUAGGCAAAAUGGUGCCGUAACUUCGGGAGAAGGCACGCUGACAC